CCCCACCCUCCACUACAUUUCAGUUAUUCACUAAACCCAAACGCUACUAUUGCUGCGCUUUACGGUGCAGACAGAGCGAAUCUGCUCGCCGUGUGCCAGCGGAGUACCACGUGUGUACCAGCUGCGUACCUGCUGGGUACCAGAUGUGCACCUGCCUUGUGCACUGUUUACCAUCUGCACCCGCUGGGCACACUGUCUGCACUAUAACCCUUCGCGAAGGCACUGAUCCAAAGUAUGCAAGGCAUUUUUUGAGUUGUAUUUUUUUUAAAACGAGCUGCAGGAAGAAAGUAUUAAGAAAAGCUUUUUUUUUCCUCCAUUUAUCAAUUAUUAUUAUUAUUAUUAUUAGCGCGGAGGGGAAAGGGGUGACACAGAAUUCUAAUAACCUGCUGCCGCCUGAAAUUAUUAUACCCGAACUCCAUCCGUGACCUAGUGUAGAGCUUUGUAAGCUAAGUGCAUUUAUUAAGAGACUGUCAGCAGCUCCAUCCCACGUGCUUCCGUUCCUCACACACACACACGUGUCUGUAUCUAACCACUUCGUGCCUGCCUCUCUCUCUGUGUGCGUGCGCGUGUGUGACAACACCGCGACCGCGCACACAAACACUCUGAAAGCCAUAAUCCUGGGAUAGCAAAUACAAUGGUCACCAGUCACGGAGGCUCCGUCUCGCUCUCUCUCCCUCUUUCUCUCUCUGUUGAGUCCAGCUUCUGAGAGGACCCGACCUGGGAGAACACAGAUCUCUCUCCUCCUGCAUAAGUUGUGGGGACUCUGCUGCCCACACGAUAGCUACAACCCCAUCCAUCGCCACGGAUCCUCACGGAGAGGAACCUGCCCACGCCCACGCGAAGGGAAGGAUUCAGCAGGAGAAGCAUGGCGGGGCCGACAAGACAUGACCCGACCUGUGGCACCCGAGAUCAGAACCAUUUCACAGCUGGACUGAGGACUGAGCCCUGCUCGCGUCCUUUGUCGUGUGUUUGCACGCAUCUCACAUCUUGCUUAGCGUUCUGUCACCUCUCUAUUCUCAUCUUAUUUUUUAUUAUUGCAUGAGUUACUAAUCCAUUUCUUUUACAAGAACUUUUAACUCAAAGCCGCCUGUCCGUUUACCGCAAAUGUUUAAACACUAACAAGUGAUCGGUGACUGUUUUACAAAGAGGGAGGGAGGGAGAGAAUGGGAUGGGACUUGACACUCAGAUCACUGUAAAUAAAGGCUUUAACCCUGAAAUUCAAGCUCUCAGUAGAGGCAAUGGGGCAAUAAAUAAAGAGACAUUAAUAUAUCAAA